AUAUUAAUAGGCGGAGGAAAAGAAACUAACAAGGAUUCCCUUAGUAACGGCGAGUGAACAGGGAAAAGCCCAGCACCGAAGCCUGUGGUCAUUUGGCCUCUAGGCACUGUGGUGUUUAGGUCUACCCGCGGAAGUGCUGUCCCACUCUAAGUCCAGCAAUGAGUACGGCAUGUGUGACUUGGCCCAAAGAGGGUGAAAGGCCCGUGAGGGUGGGAAUCAGAAAAGCCAGCACUUUCAUUGGGUUGACCUUGGAGUCGGGUUGUUUGUGAAUGCAGCCCAAAGUGGGUGGUAAACUCCAUCCAAGGCUAAAUACUUACACGAGUCCGAUAGCGAACAAGUACCGUGAGGGAAAGUUGAAAAGUACUUUGAAGAGAGAGUAAACAGUGCGUGAAACCGCUCACAGGUAAACGGGUGGAGUUGAACUGCAAGUCAUGAGAAUUCAGCUGGUGGAAUUGACGUGGUCUUGGUCACGCGCGUUCUCCCAGAGUCUGCGUAGCUGCAGGUCCUACUCUUCGGGGUGGGGUGCGCGAUGCACUUGUCAAGUGUUGUGCGCUCUGGUAACUCUAUUGAACGUUUUCGCCAGUGCACUUUCUCAUGGUGUUCACCACGACCGGUAUCUUGUCUGUCCUCUGUUAUCAAACCGGCUCUGUAUUAUCCUUGUGAUUUUAUAGGAUCGGGAUGGCAGGUAGCCUGUUUGUAUUUAUACAAUCAGGUGUAAUCAGCUGAUGGCAGUGGCACUGUGCAGGAUGUCGGAGACGGCGGCUUGUUGGGUGCUUAUACGCGUCUGUAGUUCAGCAGUAAUGGAUCUGGCUGUCAUGUGCAUGUAAAUGCAUGCCUGAUGGUGUUCUGUUGUUGUUUGAGUUGCGAUCGCGUUGAGUGCUGUGCAGGGCCUACAGUCUGUGGUGUAGUGGUAGACUAUCCACCCGA
rnacentral:rRNA from 1 species